UACGUAGGUGGCAAGCGUUGUCCGGAAUUAUUGGGCGUAAAGCGCGCGCAGGUGGUUUAAUAAGUCUGAUGCGAAAGCCCACGGCUCAACCGUGGAGGGUCAUUGGAAACUGUUAAACUUGAGUGCAGGAGAGAAAAGUGGAAUUCCUAGUGUAGCGGUGAAAUGCGUAGAGAUUAGGAGGAACACCAGUGGCGAAGGCGGCUCUCUGGCCUGCACCUGACGCUGAGGCGCGAAAGCGUGGGGAGCAAACAGG
rnacentral:rRNA from 1 species